UAACAUCUGUUAAAGACAGUUAGCUUUAGAUCAUAAAAAUAAUGACCGAUAAAUGAUUCUGAAUGUUCAGCCUCCUUGUCCUCUGCAACAUGACAUUAGCCCACAGUUGUCAUAUGAGACAUGUGGUUUUCCUGUGAACAAGCUCCACAUCUGCUUUUCUAUUGAAACAUUUAUUCUUUGUCCCAGUCACAGCCACCAUCUUCUGUGAAGUCAGACUAACAGUAUGUAUGUAGCUGUCUAAAUAAUGACCUUGUUCAUCCCUGAUAUGGCUGGUCGUCUGUUUUUGCUCAUCCUCCUUUUCGAUACCUUCCAGUACAUCAAAGCCAAAGAUCUUCCUCAGCCCAGUCUGACAGUGAUUCCUGCAGUCAUCAAAGAGAGAGACUCAGUUCAGCUGAACUGUCAGACUCCUUCAUCUGUCUCUGAGUGUUACUUCAAAAUGGCUGGGCAAGUGGAAUUCACCCUACCAUCACCCUGUCAACAGACACUCACAGGAACACUACUGGUGAGGUGGACAGGUCAGAGUUCACCAGCUGAGGUCAAAAUACAAUGUCAGUACAGUGCUACAGGUUCACAGUUUAGAUCCAUGUUCAGUGAGCCUUCAACAGUCACAAUUCAGGACCUUCCUCAGCUGACAGUGAGUUCUACAGUCAUCAGAGAGACAGAAUCAGUUCAGCUGAGUUGUGAGACUCCUCCAUCUCUCCCUGUGUCUCACUGUUACUUCUACAUAGAGGGGAGGAAGAAUCUUCCAGACUCAUUGUGUACGCAGACAAUAACAGGAACUGAGCUGCUGAAGAGGGCAGGUCCAACAUUUCCAGUUGUGGUCAAAGUGAAAUGUUACUAUGCUGUAGGGAAGUCUCACACAUCUCCGUUUAGUAACUCUGUCUCAGUCACUGUUCAGGACCCACCUCCUCCCAGGCUGACAGUCAGUUCUACAGUCAUCAGUGAGAGAGACUCAGUUCAGCUGAGCUGUGACUCUCCUCCAUCUGUCUCUGUGUCUCAGUGUUACUUCUACACAGAGGGGAGAGAUCCUAAACCCUCACCCUGUACGAAGUCACUCACGGGGACUGAGCUGCUCUCGUCGGCAGGUCAAAGUUCAUCUGCUGAGAUCAAACUGAGAUGUUUUUACACAGUAGAAACUCACUUUCCAUCGAUGCACAGUGGUUCUGUCUCUCUAUCUAUUCUUGAUCCAAAACCAGACAUUACAGUCCAUUUUGAUGGGUACUUCACCAUCAUCUGUUUGAUUCCUGGAUCCGUCAGUCCUGACACCACCUGUAACCUGUAUGUUGGAGAGGAGAGUCAGCCAUCCUUCACAGAAAAGAUCUGGAAAGAAAAAAGCAAAGCUUCCAAACAGUGGUUCUGUAGAUUCACUGUAACUGAGAGGGAUGUUAUCAGAACUCUACAGUAUGUGAGACGUAUGGAGGUGAGCUGUGACUACAGAGUGAGCUCAGGACCAAACUCUCUCUCUCCACGCAGUGAUGGGUACAGCUUUACAGUGGGUAUGACUCCAGGUCCUAGAUCUACUUUGCCUCCCAGCAAGACAGUGAGUCCUACAGAAGUUUCAACUGUUACUUCUACCUUUACCCCAGAAACCACAGUGACACCAACUACCAGGUCGACUGUUUGCUGUACUUUGACCACUGACACCCCAGCGAGUCCAACUGAAAGAGGUCAAAGCUCCACAGACAGUGUUGUGAAUUCAAACAGUCAAAAAAUAGUUUUGGCGGUGCAAUUAUGGCAGACAGCAGUGGGUAUGGCUUCUGGAGUGGGCGUGUUCCUGAUGGGAUUAACAGUGAGUACUUCUGAUUCUGCAUAACAGAUAAUUUGCAAACAUUUUCCUUCUCAUAUUAAUGUAAGUGCCUUUGACAUGGGUUAAUCUUUCAACUCCUUUUGGUGAUAUUGUGUAGUGUAGGCUAUAUUCAACAUCAUUCAUUUAGUCUAAUUUGUUUUUCAGAGGUAAGAAUUCCCUUGUGAAUAUGAUGCAGAUUGUAUCAACCUUUAGUUCUGUAUUGUCCAUGAUGAGAUGUUCUUACCACCACCUUCUUAUACUUUUAUGUUGUACAGACCUACAUCCAGACAGCAUGAUCACAGCCAAUGUAUGUUCCAAAACAAAAUACAUCCAACACUGCACACACUACUAACACAACUAGACACACACGUACAAACACAUAUCUAAUUUAAUUUUAUUUUGUUUCUAUUCUAGGGGUUUUGGUGGUGAGAGUUAUGAGCAGUGCAGGCAUGUUGGAUUCAAGGGAUGCUGGGAUCUGUUCUCUCAUCACUUAUGUACCGUCCACGUUUUUGCCCUCAGGUCCUGUGCAGCAAUAUGCAAAUGAUGCUGAUUCAGAGAAUGCAGGGGUCUACAGCCUGAUCACUUCUGUACCAUUCACAUCUGUACCACCAGUCUGAUACGUACCACGUAUACAGCUCAAUCCCCGACAGACCAGCAACCUCAGCCCAGCCAGAUGGGUUGUACAGUCUUCUGCAGACACACUGAAACUACACCUCUGGCUCUCUGUUUGUCUCACAGAAAUACUGUUUCUUUCUUUUUUUAAAUAAAGGAUGUCCUUCAUUUAUCACACAUUGUGUUACUGUAAAUAAGUAUCUAAUACAUCUACUGCAGUGCCGUUUCUAUCUGUAAGCGACAUCCAGUAAGCAGCCGCUAGAGGCCCCUCCAGAGAAAAACGUAGGAUAGUAGAAUACACAUGUGCAGUUUAGAAAUGUGGUUCUGCAUCAGCAGUUUUCUCUUGUUAUGUCAGUCACUGACAGUCACUCAAUUAUCCCAUGUCAGCUAAGAUUUUAUAGAUUGCUUGGGAAGUAAGUCUCGCCAGCUAUCUAAGCCAUGUAGUAAUGUCCAAAUUACUGCCCAGGGGCCCUGACCUCCAGGGGGCACCCAUUGAUUUUGUUAGUCACUCUCACUCAGAUAUCAAAUGAACAUGGCUUAAGUCAUGGCCAAAUGUGUAGAAUUGCAGGAAAUCAUUUAUAAAAUGUCUCUCAAUCCCUUGGAAAAAUGUGUAGAACUGCAGGAAAUUAGCUUUAAAACUGCAAAGUUCUCUCCGCCCAAUGGCAAAAUGCGUAGAAUUGCAGGACAUUAACUUUAAAGCUCCAAAUGUUUCUCUCCGCCACCAUGAGCGUGGCCACUAAAAUGUUUUGUCUGCGAGGUGGGCAAAUCUCGCUUAGGGCCCCCAAAAUGCUUGGAACUGCCGUAAUUUACUGUUUCACACACGGACACCUGGCUUGUGUUGCAUGCCUAUCCAUAAUAUCUGUUAAUGUGUUGGUAUUUUAAUUUGGGGAUUUUGGAGUGGUCCGGGGCAUACUCCCCUUAACAUUCUUAAGUGUAUAUAUUCUGUAUUUAUAUCUAUUCUGUCAUCUGUGUGAUAAUUCCUUCCAUUAUGGUUUGAUACAAUUUACUAAAUAAAAUAUAUUUGAUCAAAAUCGAUAGAUUCAGACAAUUUUAAAUCAAUAAAUAGAUAACAUAUUCACACAUAAUGCAAAAAACAGGUAAAUAGGAAAUAAAGUUAAAUUAUUGAAAUUAAGUCAUUAAGAUCCAGAGUGGAAUGUCAUUUUUCUGGGUGAAAUUCAUCUUGCGUUGAAAAUGCUUAUAAUCUAAGCCAGAUGCACCACAAAGAAAUGGGGGAAAAGACUAAUGUUAAUUUAACAAUUUUUGUGGCAAAAGUUGGCAAACCCCAAAAGCCCGAUCUUAUAACAAAAGUAUUGAUAUUGAUAUUGCCCACACACUUUGCUACAAGCUACAAAAUAUAACAUUUCGGUUUUAAAAAUGUUUACAUUGUUGGCAACAUCAGAUCAUCAAAACUGAAAAAUAUAGAUUUCCUAAAUACAAUUCAAAUCUCCCAAUUUCUCCAUGUUUACUUGUUAUUUUCCAAGUUCCCAGUUUAAUUUCAACUUACUCAGCACCUCAGUCGCUCCUUCAAUGUGCAGUGUUGUAGACACAUUCUAGCCUUUUAGUCCAGUGACUGCGGAGUGGUUAAGAUGUAAAUGGUGUGAGAACACAACUUCAUUACAUUUUUUUCCAGUUAACAUGAGCUUACAUUCUGUUUCGAUGCACACUUGAGUGGUCAGGAUGGUCGAUUAUUCUAUGGGGGAUGGCUUUGUUUGUUGAAAAAGGGGUGGCUCCCCCUCACCUUCCAUAUACACUGUAAACACUGUACAUAGAUCUUUCUAUUGUGUUUUCUGACUGUACGUUUGUUCAUGUGUAACUCUGUGUUGUUGUUUUGUCGCACUGCUUAUCUUUAUCUUGGCCAGGUCGUUGUUGUAAAUGAGAACUUAUUCUCAACUGGCCUAACUGGUUAAAUAAAGGUGAAAUAAAAUAAAAUAAUGUAUCCCUCUUGUAUAAGACCGUUAAGGUACAGUAAAUACAAAUCCAAUGUUUUGCUCCA